UAAGAGCCAGGGCGCUUCAAGUGACGUAACGAACCGGGAUGCGCGCGCCCGACACUGGCCUCCAUGACCGCGAUUAUUUACUGCUUAGGAUAGAGACCUGUCUUCUGCACGCCGAACGCAGUGAUGAAGAUGUUGAUGAUGACGAUCUGGCGUUUACCCAUGUUGACGAAGAGGGCGCCGGCGAGCACCUGGAAGAAGAGUGAAGCGCCGAUGAGGAUGAUGACGGUAAGGUAAUAUCUGAAUUCUGGGCCCUGCUCCAGUACG